GCAAACCCCGCCCUCCUAUGCUCCAUCAGGUGGUUAUAUGGGACCAAAUGCUCCCUCUUCAAUGUACUUGGGCGGGCCUCCAUAUGGUUCGUCUGUGUUUGGUGGCGCAGGUCCUUAUAGUCGACAACUGUCCGGAGGAUCCGGAUAUUAUGACUAUGGCAGCCGUCUUUCUGUUAACAGUCCUUAUGGUCAGUUGCACCUAUCUGGUCCCCCUCAUUAUUCGGGUGGAUCCA
rnacentral:misc_RNA from 1 species